rnacentral:tRNA from 1 species
GCGGUGGUAGUAUAGUGGUUAGUAUGCGGCGUUGCCAACGCUGCGACCCGAGUUCAAGAUUUAAACUGUGUUUAAAUUCUUAUAAAAACGCAGUUUUCAUGAAUAUCUCGGCCGCCGCA